UACAGAGGUGGCAAGCGUUGUUCGGAAUUACUGGGCGUAAAGGGCGCGUAGGCGGUUCGUUAAGUCCUGUGUGAAAUCCCCCGGCUCAACUGGGGAACUGCACAGGAAACUAGCGGGCUUGAGUUCGGGAGAGGGAAGCGGAAUUCCAGGUGUAGCGGUGAAAUGCGUAGAUAUCUGGAGGAACACCGGUGGCGAAGGCGGCAUCCUGGACCGGCAUUGACGCUGAGGAGCGAAAGCCAGGGGAGCAAACGGG
rnacentral:rRNA from 1 species